rnacentral:rRNA from 1 species
GAUGCGUAGAUAUAUGGAGACACCAGUGGCGAAGGCGGCUCUCUGGUCUGCAACUGACGCUGAGGCUCGAAAGCGUGGGUAGCAAACAGGAUUAGAUACCCUGGUAGUCCAUGCCGUAAACGAUGAGUGCUAAGUGUUGGAGGGUUUCCGCCCCUCAGUGCUGCAGCUAACGCAUUAAGCACUCCGCCUGGGGAGUACGACCGCAAGGUUGAAACUCAAAGGAAUUGACGGGGGCCCGCACAAGCGGUGGAGCAUGUGGUUUAAUUCGAAGCAACGCGAAGAACCUUACCAGGUCUUGACAUCUCACGGACAGCUUAAAAAAAAGGCUUUUCCUUCCGGGAACCAAGGAGAGGGGGGGCGUGUGUUUCGCCACCUCUCGUGGCGAGAGGUGGGGUUAAAACCCCCACCAAGAGCACCCCUUGUUAUUUUAUGCCCCAAUUUUCUUGGGCACUCUCUAGAGACUGCGGGGGAGAAACCGGAGGAGAGGGGGGAGAACACCACAUCUUCUCGCCCCUUAUAAGAGGGGGGAA